rnacentral:rRNA from 1 species
GACGAACGCUGGCGGCGUGCUUAACACAUGCAAGUCGAACGGUGAAGCCUCUUCGGAGGCUGAUCAGUGGCGAACGGGUGAGUAACACGUGGGCAACCUGCCCCUAGCUCUGGGAUAACCCCGGGAAACCGGGGCUAAUACCGGAUACGACCUCUGAGGGCAUCCUCGGAGGUGGAAAGUUUCUCGGCUAGGGAUGGGCCCGCGGCCUAUCAGCUUGUUGGUGGGGUAACGGCCUACCAAGGCGA